rnacentral:tRNA from 1 species
ACUUUUAAAGGAUAAAAGUAAUCCA